UUAUCGGAGAGUUUGAUCCUGGCUCAGGACGAACGCUGGCGGCGUGCCUAAUACAUGCAAGUCGAGCGAACAGAUGGGAGCUUGCUCCCUGAUGUUAGCGGCGGACGGGUGAGUAACACGUGGGUAACCUGCCUGUAAGACUGGGAUAACUCCGGGAAACCGGGGCUA
rnacentral:rRNA from 1 species